UACAGAGGGUGCGAGCGUUGUCCGGAAUCACUGGGCGUAAAGGGCGCGUAGGCGGCUUGAUAAGGUUGCGGUGAAAGCCCGGGGCUCAACCCCGGGUCGGCCGUGGCAACUGUCGAGCUGGAGCACUGUAGAGGCAGGUGGAAUUCCGGUGUAGCGGUGGAAUGCGUAGAGAUCCGGAAGAACACCGGUGGCGAAGGCGGCCUGCUGGGCAGUGGCUGACGCUGAGGCGCGACAGCGUGGGGAGCAAACAGG
rnacentral:rRNA from 1 species